rnacentral:rRNA from 1 species
UACGAAGGGGGCUAGCGUUGCUCGGAAUGACUGGGCGUAAAGGGCGCGUAGGCGGCGGCAAUAGUCAGACGUGAAAUUCCUGGGCUCAACCUGGGGGCUGCGUUUGAUACGUUGUUGCUUGAGUGCGGAAGAGGGUCGUGGAAUUCCCAGUGUAGAGGUGAAAUUCGUAGAUAUUGGGAAGAACACCGGUGGCGAAGGCGGCGACCUGGUCCGUAACUGACGCUGAGGCGCGAAAGCGUGGGGAGCAAACAGG